rnacentral:rRNA from 1 species
UACGUAGGUGGCGAGCGUUGUCCGGAUUUACUGGGCGUAAAGGGAGCGUAGGCGGACUUUUAAGUGAGGUGUGAAAUACCCGGGCUCAACUUGGGUGCUGCAUUUCAAACUGGAAGUCUAGAGUGCAGGAGAGGAGAAUGGAAUUCCUAGUGUAGCGGUGAAAUGCGUAGAGAUUAGGAAGAACACCAGUGGCGAAGGCGAUUCUCUGGACUGUAACUGACGCUGAGGCUCGAAAGCGUGGGGAGCAAACAGGAUUAGAUACCCUGGUA